rnacentral:lncRNA from 7 species
AUUAGCUUAAUCUUGUGUGAUAGAAACCUUAAACUGCCUCUGAUGACUUCUGGGAAGGAACCCUGGGAGCAGCUGGAGGAGCCCUGGAGCUGGGGCCUGAUGCCUGCCUUUACGCUUGUUGAUGUGUUGAUUGGACCCAGCAUGGCACUAACUUCUACAGUACAGUUCAUCAGUGAACAGCACUGUGUGAUGACAAUAUUUAUGUAUAGGCCUUGUGUGAACUGAGGUGGCCCUGCUCUCCUGACUGCUCUCUCAGAGCACCUACUGCAUCGACUUGGCUACCAACCGAAUAUGGAGCACUUCCCCCAACCACAGCAUCAGCCGUGUCCUUAGCUGGCUUAGGCUGUGCUGCCUGUUUGGAGCAAACACAUAAGAUGUGUGUGUUUUACACUCUGAAGCGUGUAAGAACUAUCACCUCUUUGUCCUGCACGCUCCUAUAAAUGAAAGGAAGGUGUAUGGCAUUCUGAGAAUUAAUGACCAGUUUGGAGCCUGCUGAAAUAAUUUAAGACAUUGGCAUUGUUUUCUUUCACGGCCCAGGGCUGUCAUUAGCUGAGCACUUGGAUGCUCUUCCCAAGAGGCUGAAAAGAAAAGCCCUCCAGGAACUGCAGCAGAAUGACUCCCAUCCAAAACCAACAGAUCCUGGCAUGCAGCUGCGUUAGGGCUAUAGCAGGUGUGUGUGCUGCUUGGGGUGCUGCUCACAAGCCAUGAGCACCUGGCUGCACUGUGCGGGGAGCUGGGCUCCCACAGCCACCACCUGGAACCUGAUCUGCCUGUCAGAGCACAGUGCGCUCAUUCAAGUAGCAAACUAAUUUCAUCACCUCCCCUGUCAGGGCAAGAGGAGGUAGAGAGAUUAGUUUGAACUCAAAGGACCCUAUAAUAAUGUGGCAGCAGUAUGCAACUAAUAAUCCACCGGGAGGAAUUGCAAACAUGAAGUUGUCUGGCUCUGCAUAAUGGGGAGCUAUGACCAGCAACUUCCCUGCUCCACUUCUUGCAUUUGCAUUCCCUCCAGUGGGAGCAUAGAAUGUGAUGAGAUCAGUCCCAAAGUCUGCAAGCAGACCGCUCUGCUGAUGUGCAGAGAAUCCCACCUUGGCCCCAUGGCAUAAUUCAUAUGCAACUGGCAAAAGAACCCAGCACAAAGCCCAGGACAGCAAGGAGCAGCCAAGAAGUACACUUCUCAAGUACAGGUGCUAGUUUUUUCACCCUCUGUCUCAUCCCACUCACAGCACAGCUCAGUGCGAGGUAGCUCUUGGUUUUUUCCCUGAGGCAAGAGCCUUUAAUCACAGACUGCAGACCAGCGUCAGAAG